rnacentral:lncRNA from 1 species
UGUCUGUGUCUUCAUCUUCUACGUGCUUUGAAUUUUCUUAAAAUCGAACUCGUAUCCAGAAAAUGGAAACCCAUUACAAUAAAAUCAGUGUAUACAAAAAUAUAAUUGAUAUAUGGCAGUAACAGUAAAAAGAAACGGAAGCCAAGCAGCCGAUGCCCAGCAAAUUUUCUAGUAGACGACAAUGUCGGUUUUGAGAUACAGGACACAUUGUGCCGUCAUCCACUUACGACGACAUGUCGAUUGACUUGUGUAGUACCACAUACGACGUCCAGCUCACGACGGUUACAUGCAAGAAUGUGUUCAUCAUGUGCAAUCACUUGACACCUGAGCGUUAAAUAGGGAUGGCAAUUUACGGGUUUAGACCGGGCUUUUAAAGUCCAAGUCCAAGCCCAUAUUCUUGUUAAAAAGUCCAAGUCUUUUAAAAGCUCAUCCAAGUCUGAACAGACUGGGGCUGGACCGGACCUAAGCGGGCCUGGGCUGGGCUUAGGCCAGGCCUGGGCUUCUACUAAUUUUAAAAUAAAUUUUUAACAAAGUAAAAAAGGUAAAGUAAUCUUGAUUCAUUAGAACACCAACAAAAUUAUCAGUUUUCCCUAAAGAAAAAAAAAAAAAAAAAUUUAAAAAAUUUAAAAAAAAAAAAUUUAACAAAUUUAACAGCUGCUGCAGUCAAUCCUCAUCAAACAACAAUCCACCAAAAUCUAAAAAUUCCUAAUGAAAUAAACACUCAAUCCUCAUCCAACAACAAUUGAUAAAUUGAAAAGUACCAAAGUCGAGCACCUUAUAUCGAAAUAUACAUACCCAUCGCCAAAAACUUUGAAUACCCUAUUUACCUUGUAUUCCUUUUGUCAUUCAACAAUCCUGGACAUCAUCCUGAAGCAAAAAAACAAACUGAAAUACUGAAUCGAAAAUUCUAAUUGCCAAAAAGAACAAACCGAAAAACGAAGAUACUUACAACAAAUAUCAUAAUUUGGUCUUCUUAAAAGAUCUAAAUUGACAAUAACCAGUCUUCAAAACGAUCAAAGCAAGCAAACCCAUGGAAUCUAACACGAACUAAAUAAAAAACUCAGACCACCAAAUUUAAAAGCUAGCAUCUCACAAAAAAAUUAACAAAUUUAACAGUUGCUACCAAAAUUAAAGUCCUAAUCUAUUAAUCCCAACUCACAAAAAAGUAUUAAGGAAAAAAAAUUCAGGAUUAAGGAAAAAAAUUCACGAACAAUAAAAUAAAAAAAAAUCAAUCAACACAACUCAUCGGUGCAAUAGCAACGGAUGGUGAUGAGGUAAGGGGACAAAGACGGCUGAGAUGACGAGCUGCGGCCACUGGGUUCGCUGCUGCUGUUCGCGCUACUGGUGCUGGGUUCGCAGCUACAUCGCGCGCUGUGAAUCAGUGAUGGCAGGUGAAUCGAUGAUGGCUACAAUUGUUGGCAUUGGCCGUUGGGUGGGUUUGAGGUGAGCGUGUGCGUGUGUCGGCUGUUUCUUGGGUGUGUGCGUCGACUGAUCCAGUAUUUCUCUCUUCUGUUUGUCUUUUGAUUUAUGUCUAAUCUAGGGAAUUAGGGAUUUGGGGUUUUGAAUUUGUUUUUUUGAAUUUAUUUUUUAUUUAUAAGUGAAAAGCCCGGGCUCAAUCCCAGACUUUUUAAUCAGGCCCUUAACCAAGCCCAACUUAUAUAGGCUUUCUAUGUAUGAGCCCAUAUCCAUUAAUUUAUCACACAGGCCGGGCUGGCCCGGACUUGGGCCGGCUCGAGCUUUUUU